rnacentral:rRNA from 3 species
GGACUACUCGGGUUUCUAAUCCCGUUCGCUCCCCUGGCUUUCGCGUCUCAGCGUCAGCAGACGUCCAGGACCUCGCUUUCGCCACGGGCGUUCCUUCCGAUCUCAACGCAUUUCACCGCUCCACCGGAAGUUCCAGGUCCCCCUACGUCCCUCCAGGCCGGUCGUAUCCGCGCCCGUUCCCCGGUUGAGCCGGGGGAUUUCAGCGUCGGACGUGCCCGCCCGCCUACACGCGCUUUAAGCCCAGUGAUUCCGAAUAACGUUCGCACGGUUCGUCUUACCGCGGCUGCUGGCAC